UGUGUCCAUUGAUGAUUGUCCA
rnacentral:siRNA from 1 species